UACGGAGGGUGCAAGCGUUGUCCGGAUUUAUUGGGUUUAAAGGGUGCGUAGUUGGCCUUAUAAGUCAGCGGUGAAAGUCUGCAGCUUAACUGUAGAACUGCCAUUGAUACUGUAAGGCUUGAGUACUGAUGAGGUAGGCGGAAUUGAUAGUGUAGCGGUGAAAUGCAUAGAUAUUAUCAAGAACACCGAUUGCGAAGGCAGCUUACUAAGGAGUUACUGACACUGAGGCACGAAAGCGUGGGGAUCAAACAGG
rnacentral:rRNA from 1 species